CUGUCACCUUUGAUUAUUUGAAUGCGUCGUUCAUGAAUAAAAGUAUUAUUUUUUGAACCUCCAUAACAGCGCGAGAAAAUGUACACAGAUUCGACGAACCCUUUAAAAAUAUACUGAUGCUCAAACAAUAUACAGACAAACAACAAAUAAAAACAAGAAACAAAAUUCAACAGAAGGAAAAUAAAAAAAUAUAUAAUAAAUGGGAAGUAUCAGCACGUUUUGAGGAUGAAAUGAUUACAAAAUGACAGAAAACAAGGCAGCGCUGAGUUUCUGCAGGACAAGUCAAAACAGUGACGAGAGCGCGCACGAUCAGCUGACGUAACAAACACAGAUCACCUGACCGCUGGAGCAGGAAGUGCUUUACACGGAAAACAACAACAACAACAUCAGGUGAUUUCUACAGUCCUCCAUCCAAACACAGCGGAUGUGAAGCAGAUGAAGAGCUGACGAUGGCGGCGGUGUGUGUUCUGCUGUGUCUCUGUCUGAUGUCUGCUGUCUGCUGUGAGCCGCUCUUACAGACUCAACCUGAGCAGGUGCACAUCUCGUAUCCAGGGGUGAAGAACUCGAUGUUGGUCACAUGGUCCACUGCUAAUAAACCGAGAGCGUAGUUGAGUACGGUCUGUGGGGCGGGAAGCUCUUCAGUCACACGGCGAAGGGAGACUCAAGCGUGUUUAUAGAUGGAGGACCGGAGAACAGGACGAUGUACGUCCACCGGGUCAUGCUGACCGAUC